rnacentral:rRNA from 1 species
CCGGCCCUACGGGAGGCAGCAGUGAGGAAUAUUGGUCAAUGGUCGGGAGGCUGAACCAGCCAAGCCGCGUGAGGGAGGAAGGUACAGAGUAUCGUAAACCUCUUUUGUCAGGGAACAAAGACUGGGACGCGUCCCCGGAUGAGUGUACCUGAAGAAAAAGCACCGGCUAACUCCGUGCCAGCAGCCGCGGUAAUACGGAGGAUGCGAGCGUUAUCCGGAUUUAUUGGGUUUAAAGGGUGUGCAGGCGGUCUGUUAAGUCAGCGGUCAAAGCCCGGGGCUCAACCCCGGCCCGCCGUUGAAACUGG